rnacentral:snRNA from 1 species
AUACUUACCUGGACGGGGUCAAUGGGCGAUCAACAAGGCCCAUGGCCUAGGUUGAUGACUUCCAUUGCACUUUGGAAGGGUGUUAACCUAAGGUCUACCUUAAUGGUGGAGCCUACGUCAUAAUUUGUGAUAGAGGGGGGCCUGCGUUCGCGCGGCCCCUAC